AAACCAACAGGGAUUGCCUCAGUAACGGCGAGUGAAGCGGCAAGAGCUCAAAUUUGAAAUCUGGUAGUUUUACUGCCCGAGUUGUAAUUUGAAGAGUCCAACCUUGGGUUGCAGCACUGUCUAUGUUUCUUGGAACAGGACGUCACAGAGGGUGAGAAUCCCGUGAGGUGGUGCGUUGCUUCUCUUGUAGGUUGUUCUCGACGAGUCGAGUUGUUUGGGAAUGCAGCUCUAAGUGGGUGGUAAAUUCCAUCUAAAGCUAAAUAUUGGCGAGAGACCGAUAGCGAACAAGUACAGUGAUGGAAAGAUGAAAAGAACUUUGAAAAGAGAGUGAAAAAGUACGUGAAAUUGUUGAAAGGGAAGGGCAUUAGAUUAGACUUGGCGCUUCAGGCACAUCCUCCUCUUGUAGGGGGUGCACUCCUGUUGCGCUGGGCCAGCAUCGAUUUGUGCGGUGGGAUAAAACCUUUGGGAUGUAGCUGUCUUUUCAGUGUUAUAAACAAAGGGCAUGCCACCAGCGUAGAUCGAGGACUGCGUCUUUUGACUAGGAUGCUGGCGUAAUGAUCUAAUGCCGC
rnacentral:rRNA from 1 species